rnacentral:sRNA from 1 species
GUUCGUCGGACCUCGGUGCAUAAGGGGAUUGAACCCUUCCGAGGCGGGGCGUAUGGAGCGGAAGCCGCACGCGGGAUACCCGUGCGUGCGAACCGUUCGGCAGGCUUGCGAAGGCCGUCGUCGAGGGAGAAACUCCCAAGUCCAAGCUCCGGCGCGCGCAUCAGCGCUUCGAACGUGCAGAACUCCUGGCAGCGCCAAUAGACGCCCCGGUGGGGAAUAACCUUGGACCUAGGCGGGUAGCACCGCGCGACAGCAGGCAAGGAAGGCCAACCUGUGCUGUUCGUCUUGAAGCGGCGAAAGCCGUGUAUAACAGGAGUAGCUGGCAAGAGUAGCCGUAUGACGAGCCCAUUGGGCAAAGGUCUGCUAAACCUUCUGAAUCUCGGUGAAAUCUGGGGGCAACCAGUCCCCCGCAGGGCCAACAAACGGGAGCAUGUGGCGUGCUCCUCGGGCAAGAAGCCAAGGGUCGCUCCCAAACGCUCAGACUUGUCUGCCUGCUGACGGAACACGGAGAAGCUGGUGUAGGCGUAGGGCGAAGGCUCGCG